CAGUCGCCGCGGGAAUACGUAGGGUGCAAGCGUUAAUCGGAAUUACUGGGCGUAAAGCGUGCGCAGGCGGUUGUGUAAGACAGGUGUGAAAUCCCCGGGCUUAACCUGGGAACUGCGCUUGUGACUGCACAGCUAGAGUAUGGCAGAGGGGGGUGGAAUUCCACGUGUAGCAGUGAAAUGCGUAGAGAUGUGGAGGAAUACCGAUGGCGAAGGCAGCCCCCUGGGCCAAUACUGACGCUCAUGCACGAAAGCGUGGGGAGCAAACAGGAUUAGAUACCCGCGUAGUCCCUGUCUCUUAUAC
rnacentral:rRNA from 1 species